CUCUACUAAAAAUACAAAAACUAGCCGGGUGUGGUGGCGGGUGCCUGUAGUCCCAGCUACUCAGGAGGAUGAGACAGGAGAAUCACUUAAAAACCCCUGGGAAGAUUGUUGAAGGACACCAGCUGUGGAAUUUGUGGCUUUGGCAGAUUGAAAUCAUGGCAGGUCCAGAAAGUGAUGCGCAAUACCAGUUCACUGGUAUUAAAAAAUAUUUCAACCCUUACACUCUCACAGAGAAUGAAUUAUGUACUGGCCACAUAUGGAAGCUUUGCUUUGUCUUAUAUUUCAAGUUAAGGUUCAAAAAAACUCCAGCUGUGAAAGCAACAUAAAUGGAUUUUAAACUGUCUACGGUUCUUAACCUCAUCUGUUAAGUUCCCAUGCCUGGAGAAGCUAAUGCUAACUCAUCAUGUGAUAAUUCAAUUUGUACAAUAAAUUAUGAAUCUGGAAAAAAAAACAAAAAA